GAAACAGACCCUAAGGGGGAGCAGAGUCUGAAAACACAACGUAAGACACUUGUGGGGGAAGUUCCUCCAUCCAAAUGACUGCUCUGACAUCAAAACUAAGAGCCAAUUUGGCAAGGUAGUGAGCCACAUUAUUAGCCUCGUGGUACACAUGAGACCAAGAGAACAAGGAGCAACUCUGUGAGAGAUCCAAUAUUUGCAAGAUUCGAGUCGCAUACUAAGAAGACAAUAACGUUUCUGUCUCUCGGACAAUGUUUUUGAAACCAGCCUCCAAUGCUCUACCGAGACCAACAAGGCUGCUUCUGCUUCGGCAUCAUCAACAGGGACAGUGAAGCUAGCUUGCAACAGCCAGUCAUUAAAACAUCACCACCAGAAUUAUGUGCAACCAUACCGAAGCCACAGAAACCAUCUCCUUGGAUUGCUGCAUAUCUGUGUUAAGUUUCACCAUAUCAGGUGGUGGUGGCACCCACUUGACAUUCUCCCGGGACAGUGUUAAGGCCUUCGAACCACCAUUAAACUGCUUGAAUUCUUGCAAUGGCGUUUUGUAUUUUACUGAUAUUGUCC
rnacentral:misc_RNA from 1 species